rnacentral:tRNA from 1 species
CGCCCGUAGCUCAGCUGGAUAGAGCAUCAGACUACGAAUCUGAGGGUCAGGAGUUCGAAUCUCUUCGGGCGCGCCA